GUAACCUACCUAUAACAGGGGCAUAACACUGAGAAAUUGGUACUAAUUCCCCAUAAUAUUCGGAGAGGCAUCUCUCCGGGUUGAAAACUCCGGUGGUUAUAGAUGGACAUACGUUGUAUUAGCUAGUUGGUGAGGUAACGGCUCACCAAGGCAACGAUACAUAGGGGGACUGAGAGGUUAACCC
rnacentral:rRNA from 1 species